GAUGAACGCUGGCGGCGUGCCUAAUACAUGCAAGUCGAGCGAACAGAUGAGGAGCUUGCUCCUCUGACGUUAGCGGCGGACGGGUGAGUAACACGUGGAUAACCUACCUAUAAGACUGGGAUAACUUCGGGAAACCGUAGCUAAUACCGAAUAAUAUAUUGAACCGCAUGGUUCACUAGUGAAAGACGGUUUUGCUUUCACUUAUAGAUUGAUCCGCGCCGCAUUAGCUAGUUGGUAAGGUAACGGCUUACCAAGGCAACGAUGCGUAGCCGACCUGAGAGGGUGGUCGGCCACACGGGAACUGAGACACGGUCCAGACUCCUACGGGAGGCAGCAGUAGAGAAUCUUCCGCGAUGGGCGAAAGCCUGACGGAGCAACGCCGCGUGAGUGAUGAAGGUCUUCGGAUCGGAAAACUCUGUUAUUAGGGAAGAACAAAUGUGUAAGUAACUAUGCACGUCUUGACGGUACCUGAACAGAAAGCCACGGCUAACUACGUG
rnacentral:rRNA from 1 species